AGCGAACGUUAGCGGCGGGCCUAACACAUGCAAGUUGAGCGCUGAAGGUUGGUACUUGUACCGACUGGAUGAGCAGCGAACGGGUGAGUAACGCGUGGGGAAUCUGCCUUUGAGCGGGGGACAACAUUUGGAAACGAAUGCUAAUACCGCAUAAAAACUUUAAACACAAGUUUUAAGUUUGAAAGAUGCAAUUGCAUCACUCAAAGAUGAUCCCGCGUUGUAUUAGCUAGUUGGUGAGGUAAAGGCUCACCAAGGCGAUGAUACAUAGCCGACCUGGGAGGGUGAUCGGCCACAUUGGGACUGAGACACGGCCCAAACUCCUACGGGAGGCAGCAGUAGGGAAUCUUCGGCAAUGGACGAAAGUCUGACCGAGCAACGCCGCGUGAGUGAAGAAGGUUUUCGGAUCGUAAAACUCUGUUGGUAGAGAAGAACGUUGGUGAGAGUGGAAAGCUCAUCAAGUGACGGUAACUACCCAGAAAGGGACGGCUAACUACGUGCCAGCAGCCGCAGUAA
rnacentral:rRNA from 1 species